rnacentral:rRNA from 1 species
UGAGGAAUAUUGGGCAAUGCCCGAAAGGGUGACCCAGCAACGCCGCGUGGAGGAUGAAGGUCGUAAGAUUGUAAACUCCUGUUAGAGGGGAAGAAUAACUAAGUUUGGAGCUUAGUAUGACUGUACCCUCAGAGAAAGCCCCGGCUAACUACGUGCCAGCAGCCGCGGUAAUACGUAGGGGGCAAGCGUUGUCCGGAUUUACUGGGUGUAAAGGGCGCGCAGGCGGAAUGGAAAGUCAGUGGUGAAAUCCUACAGCUUAACUGUAGAACUGCCUUUGNUACUUUCAUUCUUGAGUUCGGGAGAGAGAGACGGAAUUCCAGGUGUAGUGGUGAAAUACGUAGAUAUCUGGAAGAACACCAGUUGCGAAGGCGGUCUCUUGGUCCGAUACUGACGCUGAGGGGCGAAAGCGUGGUGAGCAAACA